UUAUUAAUAACCCCAAAAACACUCAAUAUUAAUUAAACAAACCAUUUUUCCCCCCAAGUAUGGGCGACAGAAAAGGAACAUUCAGAGCAAUAGAAAAAGUACCGCAAGGGAAUGCUGAAAAAGAAGUGAAACAACUCAGUAAAGUUUAAAAAAGCAAAGAUUCACCCUUGUACCUUUUGCAUCAUGAUUUAGUCAGUAAAAACAAGCAAAAGGCACUUUAGUUUGAUUUCCCGAAACUAAGUGAGCUACUCCAAGACAGCCUAAAAUAGGGCUAACCCGUCUCUGUGGCAAAAGAGUGGGAUGAGCUUAGAGUAGAGGUGAUAAACCUACCGAACUUAGUUAUAGCUGGUUGCCUGAGAAAUGAAUACAAGUUCAGCUUUUUGGUUUCUCCCUCCAACCUGCUUAACUAUAAACGAACCAAAGAAUCCAAAAAAGUUAAUUAAAGGGGGUACAGCUCCUUUAAACAAGAUACAACUUCACCAGCCGGGUAAAGAUCAUAUACAAUCAAGGUAAAAUGUUUUAGUGGGCCUAAAAGCAGCCACCUAUAAGAAAGCGUCAAAGCUCCUUCAUAUCACCCCCCCCCC
rnacentral:rRNA from 1 species